UACGUAGGGUGCAAGCGUUGUCCGGAAUUAUUGGGCGUAAAGAGCUCGUAGGCGGUUUGUCGCGUCUGCCGUGAAAGUCCGGGGCUCAACUCCGGAUCUGCGGUGGGUACGGGCAGACUAGAGUGAUGUAGGGGAGACUGGAAUUCCUGGUGUAGCGGUGAAAUGCGCAGAUAUCAGGAGGAACACCGAUGGCGAAGGCAGGUCUCUGGGCAUUGACUGACGCUGAGGAGCGAAAGCAUGGGGAGCGAACAGG
rnacentral:rRNA from 1 species